CAAUCUGAUCUGCAAUCGUUCAAAUUACUGCUCGCGAAAUCUAUCGUGACUGAUUCACAAUUUAACAUCCCUUUAGCAACCUUUUGCCAGCGAUACUGUGAUAUUUAGAUGGCAUCUUCCCGGGAAUUCAAAUAGCAUUUGCACUGCACCACUGCAUCACAUUGUGUGCACGCGGCAAUCCACCAAUGCCGAACCACUGAACCACGCAACCACCGAGCCACUCAACCACACUCAAUGACUUUAUUUUAAUUCGAAAUUCGCCUCGAGUUGUGCUCUUUUUCCAUUGUGUCUUGGCUUCCAUCGGUGAGUUUCAGUUUUUUCAGUUUAUUCAGUUUAUUCAGUUUUUUCAGUUUAUUCAGUUUUUUAGAUGGGCAUGGGCAUUAGUCAUCCCCAAAGUUACAGUCAUCGUCUCCGUUCUCGUGCAAUUUGGCUUUUGUUUUUUUUUUUUUUUGUUCCUUUUGCAAUUUUCAUUUCAGCUGCUUUAAGUGUUAAGGUUGCCGAUUCUUAGUCUUCAACCUGUUGUCGUUUAUUGUACUUGACAGCAGCCAUCGAAAGGGCAAGCAAACACAUAUUUCGCAAAGCUCAUUAAGUUUGUUUUUAUUUUUUUUUGAGUUCCUCUUGCUGUUUUUUUUUUUUUUUUUCUUACCCCCCAAAAACCACUUCUAGAUACUCGAACCCAAACUGUGCUAAAUUUCGUAAUCGAAAGUUGUUUUGAUGGUUCGGCUUUUGGUACUGACUGGGUACUUAGUUUACUCGGGGCCUCAUUUGCAUGGGCCCGUCCACUUGGAAUUGAAAUUAUAUAUUCUGAGCCCCGACAAGUGUAAACAUUUACCCCAAGCUGUUUAUGCAAGCUGCUGGUGGCAUUAGUCAUACCUUAAGCACUAUUCAGACACUUCCUUGGAUUUUCAACUGGGAACUAUUGGACAAAUUCAAGAGGAACUCAAAACCAGGAAGCCGAUUUUAAAUAGGAAGCAUUAGCAAAGCAUUUGGAAAAUAAAUACGGACAUCAAUGAGCAUAUAUAAAUAUUUAUCGGAAAUUUAGCAGAUGUUUAUUGGAAGAUUCAAGAAAUUCGACAAAAAAAAAAUAUUUACUCUGAGUCAAAUAAAAAGUAUA